AGUGCGGACCUUUCUUCAGCCUCUGUGCGACCGAGCCGCGCGCCAGGCUCCUGUGCGAGGAGGACGCGCUGACUCCCUCCGACCUGGGCUCCGAUGGAGCAGAAAUAGCGGGACCUGGACUUGUGGCGCGCCUGGUGCCACAUCUCGGGCUCUGCGAGCGUCCUGGCGCGGGAUCCUGCCGUGAGAAGGAGUUGGGGCGGGGGACCCGGCGGGGCAUUGCGGGAGAAGGCCUGGGAUCCCUGGGAGCCUUGUAGCGUGGGGGAGUUCACUGUGUAGAGAGGUUUCAUGUCUUCAUCUAUAUAGUCACUUAUUUGUCUUAAAGUUCUCGAAAUUCCCUCUUAGAGAAGGAGAAAGUUAGAGAACUGGAGGCUGCGUACCCUGAUUACGCAGAAGGGAAGCAGCCUCGCAUUCCCCGGGGCAGGCCCCCGCCCGCGCGUCCCGCCAGUAGGGGAAUUUAGCGGACGGCUGCGGUUGUCUGGUGAAAGGCUAUCCAAGGAUAAGGGGCUUCACUUUUCCCAAGUAGGGGAAAGAGAAGGGGUCUACAGGGCUAGGGGUGGAGGGAGCGGAUGCAGUGAGCAGCCUCCGCAGAGAAAUUGACAAUUUAACCAGGGACCUGCGGCAGAGACAAGGCGGAGACACUCCCUUGCCCAGGAAAGCCGCCAGAGUCCGGCUUGUACCUGGGGAAGAAUCCUUAAGACGGUCUGGCCCAACACUCCUUUGCUCACAGAGAAAGGGGAGAAGACUCCCGAGGGUGAAAAUGGUACAUUCGGAGCUGGAACUCAGCUCGCUGACCCCAAGCAGUGUUCCCUUCUUUUCGCCAGGUUUGCAUCCAAGAGAGGGGAGGACAGGGGCAAAAGGAUGCAGGGAGGCUGCUGAUUUCCACUGAAGAGCUAAUUUCCUGUGAGACAUUAACAGUGAUUUAAGAAAAAGAUUCCUGUAACUGUAAUGUCUUACAAUAACAGAAUGCAGGAGAGCACAUAUCAAUGAAGAAAAGACAAAAUGUACUUAUCCAUGAAGCUGAGGUUAAGAAACCAGUGUCUUCAAGAGCCAGGGACAGCACUGGGUCUGUGCAGAGUUGAGAGAUGGUGAUGACAUGCCUACAGCACAGCUGAUGAAAGAGAAGACAUCUUGCUGCUAUUUGACAAGCAAGAAGAUAAAAGCUUUCCUAUAAAGAUGAUGGAGCAAAAAAAUAGAAGGGGCCUAGACUCCCUACCUUCACACUUCCUGCUAUAAAAGCAUUGCUAUUAUAAGGUUAAUCUGCAGAAACAGACUUCUAUGUCAUAUGCUUAAAUGCAUCAAAAUUCAUACAAUAUCCAUUAAAUUGGUAAAAGUAUCCAUUUUAAAGGAUUAAUCUGAGGGACCCACAGACACUUAACACAAUCAAAUCUCAGAAAAAAAAUCAGUUAUUUCAUUGUGAUUUUGAGGCUGAUCUUUUAUGAUCUUUUAGUUAUCAAACUGUUAAAUACAUUUUAACUUUCAAAUUUUAUGAAUAAAGGAGAUGAAUCCUGUUAUU
rnacentral:lncRNA from 1 species